rnacentral:rRNA from 1 species
AGAGUUUGAUCAUGGCUCAGAUUCAACGCUGGCGGUAUGCUUAACACAUGCAAGUCGAACGGUAACAGUCCCUCACCUAGAAAUUUCUUAAAAAGAGAUUUGUAGGUGAGGGAACUGACGAGUGGCGGACGGGUGCGUAAUGUAUAGGAAUCUGCCUAGUAGUGGGGGACAACUCGGAGAAAUUCGAGCUAAUACCGCAUAAGCCCUACGGGGGAAAACGGGGGAUCUUCGGACCUCGUGCUAUUAGAUGAGCCUAUAUUAGAUUAGCUUGUUGGUGAGGUAAUGGCUCACCAAGGCGACGAUCUAUAGCUGGUCUGAGAGGAUGAUCAGCCACACUGGGACUGAGACACGGCCCAGACUCCUACGGGAGGCAGCAGUGGGGAAUAUUGGACAAUGGGCGAAAGCCUGAUCCAGCAAUACCGCGUGUGUGAAGAAGGCCUGAGGGUUGUAAAGCACUUUCAAUUGGGAGGAAUACCUAAUAGUUAAUAGCUAUUAGAUUGACA